GUGGGGAAUUUUGGACAAUGGGCGCAAGCCUGAUCCAGCAAUGCCGCGUGCAGGAUGAAGGCCUUCGGGUUGUAAACUGCUUUUGUACGGAACGAAACAGCGAGCUCUAAUAAAGCUUGCGAAUGACGGUACCGUAAGAAUAAGCACCGGCUAACUACGUGCCAGCAGCCGCGGUAAUACGUAGGGUGCAAGCGUUAAUCGGAAUUACUGGGCGUAAAGCGUGCGCAGGCGGUGAUGUAAGACAGAUGUGAAAUCCCCGGGCUCAACCUGGGACCUGCAUUUGUGACUGCAUCGCUAGAGUACGGUAGAGGGGGAUGGAAUUCCGCGUGUAGCAGUGAAAUGCGUAGAUAUGCGGAGGAACACCGAUGGCGAAGGCAAUCCCCUGGACCUGUACUGACGCUCAUGCACGAAAGCGUGGGGAGCAAACAGGAUUAGAAACCCGUGUAGUCC
rnacentral:rRNA from 1 species